rnacentral:rRNA from 1 species
CCUACGGUGUGCAGCAGUGGGGAAUAUUGGGCAAUGGGCGCAAGCCUGACCCAGCAACGCCGCGUGAAGGAAGAAGGCUUUCGGUUUGUAAACUUCUUUUAAGCGGGAAGAGCAGAAGACGGUACCUCUUGAAUAAGCCACGGCUAACUACGUGCCAGCAGCCGCGGUAAUACGUAGGUGGCAAGCGUUGUCCGGAUUUACUGGGUGUAAAGGGCGUGCAGCCGGGAAGACAAGUCAGAAGUGAAAUCCAGCGGCUCAACCGCGGAACUGCAUUGGAAACUGUAUGUCUUGAGUACCGGAGAGGUAAGCGGAAUUCCUUGUGUAGCGGUGAAAUGCGUAGAUAUAAGGAAGAACACCAGUGGCGAAGGCGGAUGACUGGACGGCAACUGACGGUGAGGCGCGAAAGCGUGGGGAGCAAACAGGAUUAGAAACCCGAGUAGUC